UCUGCCCCCUACCCAGCCUAGUCCAGCCUACCCCGGGGAGAGAGAGUUUGAACCAAAUAUGACAUGGGAAACCAGACCAGAUUGUUUUAAUAAACACAAGUGAUGACUUAUGACAUAGAAUCAAAUGUUAAGGGGACUGGGUCCCUAGAGGGAAAGGAGAGCCAGUGACAGGAACGCACAGCUGGUAGCAGCCAUUUGCAAGAUAAAACUGCUCCAUGUUUCUGCCUCAACAAAUUGAAUGUCUUCAAUCAAACGGCUGAGUAUCUGGGACAGCCACGUGAACAAGACAGGGUCUCGGCAUGUUGUCCAAGCUGGUCUUGUACUCCUGGGCUCAAGCGAUCCUCCCACCUUGGCCUCUCAAAGUGCUUGGAUUACAGACAUGAUGUAUGAAACUCGAAGCCCACCUUGGAACCACAAGGUCACAAGCAUGAGGGAAAGGUCAAGAGCCUCACCAGGUUGCUGACCAUGCCGUCAUCAAGCCACUGAAUCUGUGCCAGCAGCGAGGUGAUUUAAAUAUUUUCACCUUUUGUGAGAUGUGCUCAUCUUCUGUGAAUGUCCAGAGUCCAACAUCGUGAAGCAUCUCCAAAUGCUCAAUACAUGCUUGAGGAAUAAAUGGAUGAAUUGCGUGGUUACCUGUGGUGGGAACAGACAGGAGAUUCUUUUUUAAUAUGUAUGUUCUGCACAUUUAAGGCAAUGUAUCUGACGGAGAUUCUAGCUUAGAAGUUUAAUAAGAAACAACAUAAUGAUGGGCGG